rnacentral:misc_RNA from 1 species
GAUGAAGAACGCAGCGAAAUGCGAUAAGUAAUGUGAAUUGCAGAAUUCAGUGAAUCAUCGAAUCUUUGAACGCACCUUGCGCCCUUUGGUCAUUCCGAAGGGCAUGCCUGUUUGAGUAUCAUGAACACCUCAACUCUCAUGGCUCGCCAUGAUGAGCUUGGACUUUGGGGGUCUUGCUGGCCUGUGGUCGGCUCCUCUCAAAUGGAUCAGCUUGCCAGUGUUUGGUGGCAUCACAGGUGUGAUAACUAUCUGCGCUUGUGGUUUUCCAUCAGAUAACCUUCAGUGAUGGAGGUUCGCUGGAGCUCAUAAACGUCUCCCCUAAGCGGGGACAGCCCUUUGAAUGUUUGAUCUCAAAUCAGGUAGGACUACCCGCUGAACUUAAGCAUAUCAAUAAGCGGAGGA